rnacentral:rRNA from 1 species
GACGAACGCUGGCGGCGUGCUUAACACAUGCAAGUCGAACGGAGUGGCGAACGGGUGAGUAACACGUGGGUGACCUGCCCUGCACUUCGGGAUAAGCCUGGGAAACUGGGUCUAAUACCGGAUAGUGUGGGAUGGGCCCGGGGCCAAUCAGUUUGUUGGGUGGGUAAUGGCCUACCAAGGCGGCGACGGGUAGCCGGCCUGAGCGGGGGGACGGCCACAUUGGGACUGAGGCACGGGCCAGAGGCCUACGGGAGGCAGCAGUGGGGAAUAUUGCACAAUGGGCGGAAGCCUGAUGCAGGGACGCCGCGUGGGUGAUGACGGCCGUCGGGUUGUAAACGCCUGUCACCAUCGACGCGGUAGAUGGAGAAGAAGCACCGGCUAACUACGUGCCAGCAGCCGCGGUAAUUC